rnacentral:rRNA from 1 species
UUAAGUUAAUAAGGGCGCACGGUGGAUGCCUUGGCACUAGGAGCCGACGAAGGACGUGACAAACGACGAUAUGCCUUGGGUAGCUGUAAGUAAGCGAUGAUCCAGGGAUUUCCGAAUGGGGGAACCCAACAGGUAAUACCUGUUACCUACAUCUGUUAAGGAUGUGAGGAGGAAGACGCAGUGAACUGAAACAUCUAAGUAGCUGCAGGAAGAGAAAGCAAAAGCGAUUGCCUUAGUAGCGGCGAGCGAAACGGCGGAAGGGCAAACCGAAGAGUUUACUCUUCGGGGUUGUAGGACUGCAAUGUGGACUCAAAGAUUAUAGAAGAAUGAUUUGGGAAGAUCAGCCAAAGAGAGUAAUAGCCUCGUAUUUAAAAUAGUCUUUGUACUUAGCAGUAUCCUGAGUACGGCGGGACACGUGAAAUCCCGUCGGAAUCUGGGAGGACCAUCUCCCAACCCUAAAUACUCCCUAGUGACCGAUAGUGAACCAGUACCGUGAGGGAAAGGUGAAAAGCACCCCGGGAGGGGAGUGAAAUAGAACCUGAAACCGUGUGCCUACAACAAGUUCGAGCCCGUUAAUGGGUGAGAGCGUGCCUUUUGUAGAAUGAACCGGCGAGUUACGUUAUGAUGCGAGGUUAAGUUGAAGAGACGGAGCCGUAGGGAAACCGAGUCUGAAUAGGGCGCCUUAGUAUCAUGACGUAGACCCGAAACCAUGUGACCUACCCAUGAGCAGGUUGAAGGUGCGGUAAGACGCACUGGAGGACCGAACCAGGGCACGUUGAAAAGUGCUUGGAUGACUUGUGGGUAGCGGAGAAAUUCCAAACGAACUUGGAGAUAGCUGGUUCUCUCCGAAAUAGCUUUAGGGCUAGCGUCGACAUUAGAGAUUCUUGGAGGUAGAGCACUGUUUGGGUGAGGGGUCCAUCCCGGAUUACCAAUCUCAGAUAAACUCCGAAUGCCAAUGAAUUAUGGUCGGCAGUCAGACUGCGAGUGCUAAGAUCCGUAGUCGAAAGGGAAACAGCCCAGACCACCAGCUAAGGUCCCAAAAUAAUUGUUAAGUGGAAAAGGAUGUGGGGUUGCACAGACAACUAGGAUGUUAGCCUAGAAGCAGCUAUUCAUUCAAAGAGUGCGUAAUAGCUCACUAGUCGAGUCGACCCUGCGACCGAAAAUGGUACCGGGGACUAAAACUAAUUUACCGAAGCUGUGGAUACCUUUAUAGGUAUGGUAGGAGAGCGUUCUAUGUGUGAUGAAGGUAUACCGUGAGGAGUGCUGGAACGCAUAGAAGUGAGAAUGCCGGUAUGAGUAGCGAAAGACAGGUGAGAAUCCUGUCCACCGUAAGACUAAGGUUUCCAGGGGAAGGCUCGUCCGCCCUGGGUUAGUCGGGACCUAAGGAGAGACCGAAAGGUGUAUCCGAUGGACAACAGGUUGAUAUUCCUGUACUAGAGUAUGUAGUGAUGGAGGGACGCAGUAGGCUAACUAAAGCAGACGAUUGGAAGAGUCUGUCUAAGCAGUGAGGUGUGAAUUGAGUCAAAUGCUUAAUUCUAUAACAUUGAGCUGUGAUGGGGAGCGAAGUUUAGUAGCGAAGUUAGUGACGUCACACUGCCAAGAAAAGCUUCUAGCGUUUAAACAUACUCUACCCGUACCGCAAACCGACACAGGUAGUCGAGGCGAGUAGCCUCAGGUGAGCGAGAGAACUCUCGUUAAGGAACUCGGCAAAAUGACCCCGUAACUUCGGGAGAAGGGGUGCUGACUUAAAGUCAGCCGCAGUGAAUAGGCCCAAGCAACUGUUUAUCAAAAACACAGCUCUCUGCUAAAUCGUAAGAUGAUGUAUAGGGGGUGACGCCUGCCCGGUGCUGGAAGGUUAAGAGGAGUGCUUAGCGUAAGCGAAGGUAUGAAUUGAAGCCCCAGUAAACGGCGGCCGUAACUAUAACGGUCCUAAGGUAGCGAAAUUCCUUGUCGGGUAAGUUCCGACCCGCACGAAAGGCGUAAUGAUUUGGGCACUGUCUCAACGAGAGACUCGGUGAAAUUUUAGUACCUGUGAAGAUGCAGGUUACCCGCGACAGGACGGAAAGACCCCAUGGAGCUUUACUGCAGUUUGAUAUUGAGUGUCUGUACCACAUGUACAGGAUAGGUAGGAGUCUAAGAGAUCGGGACGCCAGUUUCGAAGGAGACGCUGUUGGGAUACUACCCUUGUGUUAUGGCCACUCUAACCCAGAUAGGUGAUCCCUAUCGGAGACAGUGUCUGACGGGCAGUUUGACUGGGGCGGUCGCCUCCUAAAAGGUAACGGAGGCGCCCAAAGGUUCCCUCAGAAUGGUUGGAAAUCAUUCGCAGAGUGUAAAGGUAUAAGGGAGCUUGACUGCGAGAGCUACAACUCGAGCAGGGACGAAAGUCGGGCUUAGUGAUCCGGUGGUUCCGUAUGGAAGGGCCAUCGCUCAACGGAUAAAAGCUACCCUGGGGAUAACAGGCUUAUCUCCCCCAAGAGUUCACAUCGACGGGGAGGUUUGGCACCUCGAUGUCGGCUCGUCGCAUCCUGGGGCUGUAGUCGGUCCCAAGGGUUGGGCUGUUCGCCCAUUAAAGCGGCACGCGAGCUGGGUUCAGAACGUCGUGAGACAGUUCGGUCCCUAUCCGUCGCGGGCGUAGGAAAUUUGAGAGGAUCUGCUCCUAGUACGAGAGGACCAGAGUGGACUUACCGCUGGUGUACCAGUUGUCUUGCCAAAGGCAUCGCUGGGUAGCUAUGUAGGGAAGGGAUAAACGCUGAAAGCAUCUAAGUGUGAAACCCACCUCAAGAUGAGAUUUCCCAUGAUUAUAUAUCAGUAAGAGCCCUGAGAGAUGAUCAGGUAGAUAGGUUAGAAGUGGAAGUGUGGCGACACAUGUAGCGGACUAAUACUAAUAGCUCGAGGACUUAUCCAA